rnacentral:sRNA from 1 species
CAGUUCCCAGUGGCCCUCCCUCAACAACCAUCUUGGCCUCUUCAAACAAAGUGAAAAGUGGGGAUGACAUCAGUGUGCUCUGCACUGUCCUGGGGGAGCCCGACGUGGAGGUGGAGUUCACGUGGAUCUUCCCAGGGCAGAAGCAGAAAUUGUUACAACCAGCCAAAAUUUGUCAAAAACAGAUAGCUUUGAAUUUAGAGAAGAAGAGCUUAGCUCUAACUCCAGCUCUGUGAGCCCAUGAGCAAUUCUGCAGUUGCAGUGGAAAUUCCUGGGAAAUAAACUAAGAGGAGAUACGCUCUUCACUGUGGUGUCACAGGGCUGUAAAAAUGAAGAAUUUGAAGAAUGAAGGAGGUCAGAGGAUGCAAUUCUUGAGUAUUCCAGCAUUAUUUAUUUGAUCAAAGUAAAAUACACUUCCUAUCACUACAAACUGAGCACAACUACAGUUGUCUACACAUUCAUAUUUUUGACGUGCCAACAUUUUGCAUUCUACAUGAAACAUUUGGUUUAAACAAAAUCUUAAAAAUUCUCUAUUUUGUUUCCCAUCUUCUCUCCUGUUCUCUCCCAUCCUCCGAAGAUGUUUUAUAUUAACUGCUAUGAGAUUUAUUUCCCAGUCACGUAAUACGGAGGACGGCAGGGAA